rnacentral:rRNA from 1 species
GGAGGCAGCAGNNGGGAAUAUUGCGCAAUGGGCGAAAGCCUGACGCAGCAACGCCGCGUGUGUGAUGAAGGCUCUCGGGUCGUAAAGCACUGUCAGAAGGGAAGAAACAAAUGACGGUACCUUCAAAGGAAGCACCGGCUAACUCCGUGCCAGCAGCCGCGGUAAUACGGAGGGUGCAAGCGUUGUUCGGAAUCAUUGGGCGUAAAGCGCGCGCAGGCGGCUUGCCAAGUCUGAUGUGAAAUCCCGGGGCUCAACCUCGGAACUNCAUUGGAAANUGGUAGGCUUGAGUAUGUGAGGGGUUAGUGGAAUUCCUGGNGUAGGGGNGAAAUCGGUAGAGAUCAGGAGGANCACCGGUGGCGAAGGGGACUNACUGGAACAACACUGACGNUGAGGCGGGA